rnacentral:lncRNA from 1 species
AACUGUACCAAUCUACAGCGUUUCGUGGUGCAUGGCAUACGUUGCUGGAAAGCUCUUGGAGUCUAGUUUCACACCCAAGAAACAGUUCAUCAUUUGGACUUCCCAAUAAAAAGUUAUGGUCAGUUUAUUGGAAACUGCUCUGGAGGGCAACAGUCACGCGAAGCCACUUCGGGAAUCCAUUUCGAGGGAACCUUUCACAUUGCCUUCCCUCAGAAACUCUAUUUCAUUUUCAUACCUAUCUAGCAGGGCUGUUGCUAGUAUAAAUACCCCCUAAGACUCAUUGUAAUCCAAGACUUUGAUAAUUGAAAUAUAGAACCCCUUUGUUCAGCUGCGUGCUAACAAAUUCAGAGAGUGAUCUCUACCCCUUUGCUCUUGUGUUUUCCUUCGUGGAGAUUACAGAAGCGGCCGCGUCAUCGGCACCCAAUCCGUGCUCCUGAUCCUCAAGUUCAGGUUGCAUAGGUUGGUUCUUUGAGAGUGUGGUUGGGCGAAUCCUUGGUUCAGGCUGCCGUAUAGAGACGGUGGUUGGCUCCUUGUGCGUGUCGUCAGGUUGCACUAGUUAUCCUCGCUGCUUGCAGCAAGUUAUCGGCUGAUCUUCAGCUAGUUAUCCAUCCUACGUCGUGAAGAUCGGGACAACGACCUCACCAUCUGGUAUCAAAGCUCAAGUUUCCACGGUAGGAUUUUUAGCCUUAGCUACAUAUAUAUAUCUUGUUCGUCCUAUCCACCAAAAAGCCAAAAAAAAAUUGCAUUAGCCCUUUGUUUCAGUCUGUUUUUCUUGUGAGUUUGGUUAAGUUUCAGUCCAUUAGAGUUUUGUUUAGUUGCUGAUCAUCAUAUCCUUUGUGUGUCCUUUGUGCCUCUUUUAUAUCUACAAAUCCCUAAAGAAAAUCUGAAACCGGUAUCAUCCUUCGCGUAAACUUUGAGCAUAUCAAGUUAGAACGCUGACGGUUGUGUCUUGUUUCAAAAAAAAAAGUGUGUGUAAGUGUUAUAUCUGCUCUUGUUCUUAGUUAUAAAAAAAACAGAGUAUCAAAAAAAAGGAAAGUGAAAAAAAAGGAGAGUUGAGGAAGAAAAGUUGUGAAGAAAGAGUAGAAAAUUCACUCUGUUUAUGUGCUCAAGUUCUGAAUUUUAUAUCAAGUCACACAAUCAGUCAUUAUCCAUCUUUGGUGCAAAAUUUUGCUUGGGUUUGAUUGCAACACUUGCAUCCUAGGCAUACUCCUUGUUUGCAUCAAAUCUGAAUUAUCUUUGCGCGUGUGUUUGAUCUAUUUACAUCACUCAUAUCUUGUGGUCAGCACUAGGCAUUGAACUUCUAGUUUGGAUUGUGGUUUAACUUUAUAAUAUCAAGAAUUCAGACUGCAUUCCUUGUGAAAUAUAUCCCCACCAAGCUCCACAAAUAACCCACCGUCAUAGGAAAAUACUGAUCUUGGAUUCUCCCAACCAUCAUUCUCGGUUACCACCUCGCAUUGGCCGUUGUAAUCUGCAGGGAACUCACAUGAGCUUCGGUUGGUAAGAGAGGUGAGAUUGUGAGAUUCCACAUAUAAUUCCCUAUUCUACAUAUAUUGUUGCUUUGCCUUCACUAAUUUUUUACAGCAAGAUGACUGAGCAUCCGGAGAUUGAUGAUUGUGUCACCGUGGCACAAUUCAAUGAGAUGAAACAAAGCAUGGAGACGCUAACAAACAAUGUUCAAGCACUCAUAAACCGGUUGCAAAUCCAUCCUCAUGAUAAUGCAAAUGGCAGUCACCAUGAAGAUGAAGAUGAAGAAAGCGAAGGAGAAGCUGCUCGUCGUGCAAGAGAACGGCGUAGAGAGCAAGCUGCUGCCAAUGCAAGAAGACCUCCUUUUCCACAACGUGAUCAUGGUGGUAGAGGUGCUGGUCAUGGACAUGGGAGAGAUAUUGGAUUGGAAGAAAGUGAAACUGAAGAAGAGGAUGAACAGCCCCAUUAUGAUGAUCGUCGUCACCGAAGAAAUCGUAGGCGUAAUCAGCACAAUGAAGAGAGGUUUGGCAAGUUAAAAUUCACCAUGCCCUAGUUUGAAGGAGGAUCUGAUCCUGAAGCAUAUCUUACAUGGGAGUUGAAGGUGGAUAAAAUUUUUCGUGUGCAUAAUUAUUCUGAGAGAAAGAAGGUUGCCAUGGCUGCUCUUGAGUUCGAUGGGUAUGCUCUAAUCUGGUGGGAGCAAAUGUUGAAUGAAAGAGAAGAAGCUGGUCAAGGUGAUGUUCGUUCAUGGGCUGAAAUGAAGAGAGAAUUGAGAGCAAGAUUUGUCCCCAAACAUUAUCGCCGUGAUUUAUUUGACAAGCUACAGAAUCUGAAGCAGGAAGCCUCAGUGUUGAUGAGUAUUAUAAAGAGAUGGAGAAGGCGAUGAUUAGAGCCAAUGUAAUUGAAGAUGAAGAGCAAACAAUUGCAAGAUUUAUGUCAGGGCUGCAUCGGAAUAUUCAGCGCAUUGUUGAAUUUCAGCAAUAUCGUAAUCUUGUUGAAUUGGUGCAUCAAGCUAGCAAAGCUGAGCGGCAAUUGCAGCAGGAUAUGAAGUCCACUAGAGGAGUAUCUUUCAGCACAAAGAGUGCAGCAAGUGGAAGUAAAUUUGCACCCAAAGGAAGUGGAAGUAAAGGUACAUUUUCCAGCACAAACGGUGGUGCACGAUCUAGCAACCUUGGUUCUUCUAGUAGCAAAGAGUUGGCUGCUCAAAAUGAGAAAUUCAAAUCAGCAAACUCAGUGGGUUCUUCCAGCAAGAGUAGUGGAAUUCAGUGCUUCAAGUGUGGUGGUCGUGGUCAUGUUGCAAGAGAGUGUCCAAACGCUAGAACCAUCAUUGUGAAUGAUCAAGGGGAGUAUGAAUCUGCUAGUGAGGAAGAACAAGAAGAUAGUGGAAGUGAGAGUAAUCUUGAGAAGGACAUCUGUGAAUUUGAAUCUGGUGCUGCUCUUGUUGUAACUCAGAUUUUGAGUGUACAAAUGAGCGAUGCUGAAAAUGGACAGCGGCACAAUCUUUUUCAGACUAGAGCUAAAGUGCAAGAUAAGGUUGUCAAAGUGAUCAUUGAUGGUGGCAGUUGCCACAAUCUUGCAAGCAAAGAAAUGGUUGAAAAUCUUGGGUUGAAGCUGCUGAAACAUCCCCAUCCAUAUCAUGUGCAAUGGCUUAAUAAUUCAGGUUCUAUUAAGAUUGCACAAAGAGUGAAAGUUCCAUUCAAGAUUGGUGAAUAUAUUGACACUGUAGAGUGUGAUGUGGCGCCUAUGACAGUGUGCCACAUGCUGUUGGGAAGACCAUGGCAAUAUGAUCGAUCGUCUCUACAUUGUGGUAGAACCAAUCAAUACACCAUCAAGUGGAAGAACAAGGAGUUGAUUCUUAAACCCAUGACACCCCAGCAAAUCCUAGCUGAGCACUUGCAAAAGAGCUCCGAAGUGAGGAAUGAGAGUGCAAAAGAAAGAGAGAAAAAUAAUUUGAGUGCCCUCCACAAAUCAGUGAGUGAGAGCCACAAGCCAAACAUGAGAGAUGACAGAAAAAAAGAGGGAGAGAACUUCGUGAUGAUAGCCACCAAAUCUGAAAUGAGAGAUGUGAGGAAAAACCCAGAUCAAGUACUAUUUGUACUUGUGUGCAAGGACACAUUGCUUUCAGCUAAUGACUUAACAUCUGUCCCUAGUGUUGUUGCACGUGUUUUGCAGGACUAUGACGAUGUUUUUCCAAAGGAAACACCUGCUGGACUUCCUCCUUUGCGCGGUAUUGAACAUCAAAUUGAUCUCAUCCCUAGAGCUGCACUUCCAAACCGUCCGGCGUACCGCACCAAUCCGGAAGAAAGCAAGGAGAUUCAAAGGCAAGUACAAGAACUUUUAGAUAAAGGAUAUGUGCGAGAAAGUUUAAGUCCUUGUGUUGUUCCUGUGAUUUUGGUGCCAAAGAAAGAUGGUUAUUGGAGGAUGUGUGUAGAUUGUAGAGCCAUAAACAACAUCACUGUUCGUUAUCGUCAUCCUAUUCCUAGGCUAGAUGAUAUGCUUGAUGAAUUGAGUGGUUCUAUGAUGCUUUCUAAAAUUGAUUUGAGAAGUGGUUACCAUCAAAUUAGAAUGAAGAUUGGAGAUGAAUGAAAAACUGCUUUUAAAACAAUGUUUGGGCUGUAUGAAUGGUUAGUUAUGCCUUUUGGUUUGACCAAUGCCCCUAGUACGUUCAUGAGAUUGAUGAACCAUGUCUUGCGAGCAUUCAUUGGAAAGUUUGUUGUUGUUUACUUUGAUGAUAUUCUAAUUUACAGCAAGACAUUGGAGGAACAUGUUGAUCAUAUUAAGCAAGUUUUGGAUGUGCUGAGAAAAGAAAAAUUAUUUGCUUACCUUGAGAAGUGCACAUUUUGUACAGAUCAGGUUGUGUUUCUUGGUUUUGUUGUUUCAGGUUCAGGAAUUCAGGUUGAUGAAUCAAAGGUGAAAGCAAUCAAGGAUUGGCCAACUCCUGAAAAUGUGAGUCAGGUGAGAAGUUUUCAUGGACUUGCUGGUUUUUACAGGAGAUUUGUGAGAGAUUUCAGCACCAUAGCUGCUCCGUUGAAUGAGUUAACAAAGAAAGGUGUUGCCUUCCAAUGGGGUGAACCACAAGAGAGAGCAUUCCAAGAAUUGAAGAAGAGGCUAUCCGAAGCCCCCUUGCUGGUGUUACCGGAUUUCACUAAAACCUUUGGGGUUGAAUGUGAUGCAAGUGGGAUCGGAAUCGGUGGUGUCCUAAUGCAAAAUGGACAGCCGGUUGCAUACUUCAGUGAGAAGUUAGGAGAUGCGCAACUGAACUACUCGGUGUAUGACAAAGAAUUGUAUGCUUUGGUAAGAGCUCUUGAGACUUGGCAACAUUAUUUAUGGCCAAAAGAGUUUGUUAUUCAUUCAGAUCAUGAGGCUUUGAAAUAUUUAAAGGGGCAAGCAAAACUGAAUCGUAGACAUGCCAAAUGGGUUGAAUUCAUUGAAACUUUUCCAUAUGUUGUGAAAUAUAAGAAAGGUAAAGAAAACAUUGUUGCUGAUGCUUUGUCACGUAAAAAUGUUUUGUUGAAUCAACUAGAUGUCAAGGUUCCAGGACUUGAAAGCAUAAAAGAAUUGUACCCUACUGAUCAUGAAUUUUCAGAACCAUUUGCAAACUGUACAACUAGAAAAGGGUGGGAAAAAUAUCAUAUACAUGAUGGAUUUUUGUUUCGAGCUAACAAAUUGUGUGUACCCCACUGCUCUGUUAGGCUUUUGUUGCUACAGGAAACAUAUGCAGGUGGAUUGAUGGGUCACUUUGGAUGGAGAAAGACAUAUGAGAUGCUAGCUGAUCACUUCUAGUGGCCAAAGAUGAGAAGAGACGUCCAACGACUUGUGCAAAGAUGCAUCACAUGUCACAAAGCUAAGUCAAAACUGAACCCUCAUGGAUUAUAUACUCCCUUGCCUGUUCCUAGUACCCGUUGGGAAGAUAUUAGCAUGGAUUUUGUUUUAGGUUUACCUAGGACAAAGAGGGGAAUGGAUUCAAUUUUUGUUGUUGUUGAUCGGUUCUCUAAAAUGGCACAUUUUAUACCUUGUCAUAAAAGCGAUGAUGCUUCCCACGUAGCCUCUCUAUUUUUCAGGGAUAUUGUAAGAUUACACGGCGUGCCCAAAACAAUUGUUUCAGACCAUGACACCAAGUUUUUGAGCUACUUUGGAAGACAUUGUGGGCAAAGCUUGGAACAAGGCUGCUGUUUUCCACCACUUGUCAUCCUCAAACGGAUGGACAAACUGAAGUUGUGAAUAAAACACUUUCUAUGCUGCUACGAGCCUUGAUAAAGAAGAACCUGAAGGAGUGGGAAGAGUGCUUGCCACAUGUGGAAUUCGCUUACAACAGGGCAGUACAUUCUACAACUAAUAUGUGUCCUUUUGAAGUUGUGUAUGGAUUCAAACCCCUUGCUCCGAUCGAUUUGUUGCCUCUACCAUUGCAGGAAAGGAUUAACAUGGAAGCAUCCAAGCGUGCAUCAUAUGUCAGGAAGAUUCAUGAGAAGACCAAAGAAGCAAUCGAAAGAAGGUCCAAGUACUAUGCUGAUUGGGCAAACAAGCAUCGCAAGAAGGUGAUAUUUGAGCCCGGAGAUUUAGUGUGGGUACAUCUUCGCAAAGACCGCUUUCCUGAGAAGCGUAAAUCCAAGUUGAUGCCACGGGGAGAUGGUCCAUUCAGAGUGCUGUCCAGGAUCAAUGAUAAUGCCUACAAGAUUGAGCUUCCUGAAGAUUAUGGUGUUAGCACAACCUUCAAUGUUGCUGACUUGACACCAUUCUUCGGAUUAGAAGAAUCAGAGUCGAGGUCGACUCCUUUUCAAGAGGGGGAGGAUGAUGAGGACAUCCCAACCAAGCAUGCUCCCUCCAAUUCCACGCCAACCUCUACACCGACUACACCGGCACCAGCCCAAGCCAUUGAUGGAGCAAUUACACGUAGCCGAGCCAAGAAGCUACAACAAGAGGUGAACGCGCUACUUUGUGAGAGUUCUAUUAAUGUUAAUGAGAAUAUUAUACUACCUAAGUGUUCUACUUUGGUUGUGCUUAGGUAUACACAUGAGGAGGGAGGUGACCUGGAUCGCAAGGAUUGGAACAACACGGUGCAGAACGGACCAGUUGAAAGAAGGGCAGAUCGGACCAGUGCGGUGCAGAACGGACCAGUUGAAAGAAAAGAUCAUAACUUUCACUUUCGAGAUGAUAUGAAGGCCCAUGAGCACUUGUUGGAAAGCUCUUCGAGUCUGCUUUCCAAUGAAUCAAGUGGCGAUCAGUUUGGAUACUCCAUAUGGCCUGCAGACCAGAAUUAGUACAGACUGCUCAGAAGGUCAACAGUCUGUCGUGACAGAAUGUUGGUACAACUUGCCAAGUAAAACUGUACCAAUCUACAGCGUUUCGUGGUGCAUGACAUACGUUGCUGGAAAGCUCUUGGAGUCUAGUUUCACACCCAAGAAACGGUUCAUCAUUUGGACUUCCCAAUAAAAAGUUAUGGUCAGUUUAUUGGAAACUGCUCUGGAGGCCAACAGUCACGCGAAGCCACUUCGGGAAUCUAUUUUGAGGGAACCUUUCACAUUGCCUUCCCUCAGAAACUCUAUUUCGUUUUCAUACCUAUCUAGCAGGGCUGUUGCUAGUAUAAAUACCCCCUAAGACUCAUUGUAAUCCAAGACUUUGAUAAUUGAAAUAUAGAACCCCUUUGUUCAGCUGCGUGCUAACAAAUUCAGAGAGUGAUCUCUACCCCUUUGCUCUUGUGUUUUCCUUCGUGGAGAUUACAGAAGCGGCCGCGUCAUCGGCACCCAAUCCGUGCUCCUGAUCCUCAAGUUCAGGUUGCGUAGGUUGGUUCUUUGAGAGUGUGGUUGGGCGAAUCCUUGGUUCAAGUUGCCGUAUAGAGACGGUGGUUGGCUCCUUGUGCGUGUCGUCAGGUUGCACUAGUUAUCCUCGCUGCUUGCAGCAAGUUAUCGGCUGAUCUUUAGCUAGUUAUCCAUCCUACGUCGUGAAGAUCGGGAUAACGACCUCACCAACAAGCUCCCCAAGCUUAACCUUUGCUCGUCCCUGAGCAAAGCUAAAAUCAGCAAGAAAACAUGGGUUACUUUAUGUCUCUUACUACAGGGUUUUUAAGUUAUCACUAAGGUUUUAAGUGAUUGAAAAACAGAACGAUCAAGUCAAGCACUAUGUCUCAAGUUCUUCUGUCUUACCUUUGUUCUGGAGUUUUUUUGCAAGUUUCCAAAACAAAACUGAGGCAUUUGCCUUCUUCUCGAAAGAUAUAUAAGUAGAGCUUUAAAAGUUUUAGCUUACUUACUUUGCAUUUUGCUAUGUCAAUGCUCGAAGCAAGGGAGAGGAAUGUCAUACUCCUAGAUCAAGACCUUUGACCUUUUUGAAAAGUUUGUCAUCUCUUACUGGCAUAUUGCUUAUUAGAGGGACCAUGGGCUAUUAUUUUUUUUUCUUUUUUCAGUCUCUAUCUUUUUUUUCUUUUUUUUCAAGUGGGCACCAAGUACCCCUAAUUCUACUUCGGACACUUGUCGAUUUUUACCUCUCGUCUCACUCUUUUUUUUUCAAAUCAAAUUUUUGCAUAGUCCCAUGCUUCUAAAGCAAUAAUACUUUGGAAGAGUGAAUCGUUUAUAUUUUUUAAAAAACAAAAAGACCUUGAUCUUUGGAGCAUGAUAAUUCUCUCAACCGAAACUACAAGAAUUAACAAUGGCUUGAACAAAGCAAGUGCCCACAGUUUUAAUAUUUAUAUCUUAUAAGACUCUAGGUAUUAUGUCAAACAUAAUCUCAUUCAUUUUUUUUGAAUUUUUAGAUUUUCAAAAGAUAAAAUCUCCAGAACUCUAGCGAAACUUGGAACAAGUUAAAUAGUAGCUCAGACCUUCUCAUAUCAUGUUUGUCAAUUACCUAGACUUGGAUCAAACUUUCUUUUUAUUUUAUUUAAAACUGAGGAUUACACAAAACUAUUGUAUAUUACUCAAAAGAAAAACUUUGUUUGGUUUCAUGGUUAUGCAUUUUUUUUAUUUAUUUCCAAAUACUAGUAAAUAAAACCAAGAAAGAAAAGUAAUACUUAUCUAGAUACACGUGGGGUUGCCUCCCCAAGCUGGAUGUGGACAUAGUCGUUCACUCUUGUGGCCUGCAUGUUCGGUCUCACUCUUCUUAAGCCUCAAAAUCCUGCAUAACCCAAAUAGACAACAAAACUCGUGGAGCAUGUUUAGGGUUAGGUAAUUGUCUAGAGCUUAUGAGAGCUUAAUGUGAGAAUUCUAUGAACUCAAUCACAUCAAGUUCCUCUACCAGGUUGUUUUGUGGCUUGAGAUAGAUUUUCAAGCGUUGACCAUUUACCUUAAAAGUGUUACCUAUGUCGUCUUGGAUGGUAAUGGCUCCAUGAGUUAAAGUGUCAAUAACCUUGUAUGGUCCAUCCCACUUACUUCGUAGCUUACCAUGCCCAAAGAGCUUAACUCUUGAAUUGAAUAGUAGAACCUUAUCUCUAGGCUUAAACUCCUUGUGCUUGAUUCUCUUAUCAUGCCAUCAUUUUGUUCUCUCUUUAUAGAUCCUUAAAUUGUGGUAGGCUUUCUCUCUCCAUUCUUCUAGCUCAGAUAUUUGCAUCAGACGAUUCUCGCUAGCGAGGUGGAGAUCCAUGUUCCAUUUCUUGAGUGCCCAAUGAGCCUUAAACUCUACUUCCACAGGAAAAUGACAAGUUUUUCCAUAUACAAUUUGAUAAGGUGACAUGCCUAUGGGUGUUUUGAAUGCAGUUCUAUAUGCCCAAAGUGCAUUAGGAAGUUUGUCACCCCUUACCCAUCUCAUCUACAGUCUUUUGUAAAAUAUUUUUAAUUUGUUUGUUAGAUGUUUCGGCUUGACUGCUAGUCUGAGGAUGGUAUGGUGUUGCGACGUUGUGUCAAACUCCAUGAUCGGCUGGGUACUUCCGGAAGAUUUUGUCGAUGAAGUGGGAACCUCCAUCGCUUAUAACUAUCCGGGGUAUACCAAAGCGAGGAAAGAUUACUUCAUGGAACAUUCCCUUCGCUUGUUUUGAAUCAGCGGAUCGACAAGGUAGGGUUCUACCCAUUUAGACACGUAGUCCACAACUACUAAGAUAUACUCGCAAUUCCUGGACAUAGGGAAUGGCCCCAAGAAAUCAAUGCCCCAUACAUCGGAAAGUUCUACUUGAAGAUUAUUUGUGAG